AUUCAUUUAUUCACUCACUUGAUUGUUAGAGCAUCCAUCCGUAUUAGAAGUCCUGUAUUUAUCAAGAACAGGAUCUGUAUUUGAUAAGUUAAUCAAAAAGAGUUUUUUUUGAAAAGGAAAUAAGCAUUUAAUAAAAGUACACAUGUACACCUACAUUUUUUUAACUUAAAACUUAUGUCUGCAUAUUUACUCACCCAUAUUCUGAUACAAAGCCAAGUUUGUUUAUUGGUUUUAGUCUUCUUUUCCAAAAACAAACAGGCAAACAACAAAAAACAAACAAACAAAAACACCCAUAAUACAUCAUCCAUGUUUCUAGUUCUAGUUUCCUUUAAGUGGAUCAGGAGCUUAAAGAUACUUUUGAAGUUAUUUGACUUUAGACUUCUAUUCAUAAUUUUUUUCCUCUAAUAUUUUAUGGUUGUUUUUACCAACAAUUAAUUUAGCAAAAAUUUUAAAAAAUCAACUUGCCCAUUAGAGUACACACAUAGAGACCAUUCUUGGGUUUGAGGCUCUUUUGAAUGUUAGUUUACAGAAAAACCUUUUAUUAUUGAGACUUCUGACUUAUGUUCAGGAAAUGACUUUUAUGUACAAUUUUUUUUUCUUUUUUAUUAUUAUUAUACUUUAAGUUUUAGGGUACAUGUGCACAAUGUGCAGGUUAGUUACAUGUGUAUACAUGUGCCAUGCUGGUGUGCUGCACCCAUUAACUCGUCAUUUAGCAUUAGGUAUAUCUCCUAAUGCUAUCCCUCCCCCCUCCCCCCACCCCACAACAGUCCCCAGAGCGUGAUGUUCCCCUUCCUGUGUCCAUGCGUUCU
rnacentral:lncRNA from 1 species